rnacentral:tRNA from 1 species
GGGAGUGUAGCCUAAUUGGAAGCGGCGUCCGAUUUAAGAUCGGAAGGUUGUCGGUUCGAUCCCGACCACUCCCUCCA